GAUCUGGUGUGACACUCAUUUCUGUUGCCUGCCUCUCAGCUCCUUCUCCGGCGCCACGUUGGCCUGCACACCGCCAUACUUCCCACCAGGACGAUAAUGGACGAAACCUCUGAAACUGUCAUCUUCUGAGCCAAAUAAUUUGUUUUGCUACGGGACUCCUGCCCUUCAACCUGGCUUGAACCCAACUUUGGCAUGCAGGCACCAAAAUUGGGCUCGGGCCGCUCCUGGAUGCUCCUCACUGAAUUGGUAACAAGAUGAGGUACGGAGUUAAAGAGGUAAAGUCCCAGGAAGACACCCAGAACUGGACAUUAAACCUGUCAUGCCUUGCUCCAGCCCCUCCUGACCUUUAGAUCAAUCGAAUUUUACUUUUGAAUGCUUUCAAGCUUCAACGAGAAUCCAACAAGGGCGCUGGAAUGCAGCCGACCUCUUCACUCCAAAGCCGGCCCGGAGACACAGAAGCUGUCCUCUCUGGAUGCGGUCAAGUCAGAUCUCUCCCCGGUCCUCAGCUAAGUACAGGAAAUCUCAAAUUUUCAGCUAGUCUUCAAUUUCCUAAUUCCAGCCUCCAGCCCCCUUGGGCCUUUCUGCUUGACCUGGCAGUCUCUGCCUGGCAAACCAGUCUAGUCUGGUUGGCAGCCUCCUGUUGCUAAGUGCUCACAGUGUUGAGGGGAUCCGAAGAAAGCCUAGAUGUUCUGGCUCUGGAGAGGCCAUGUUGCCCUGACAAAUACUUCUAUGGGACUUCUUCUUCCCAUCUUGUUUAAUGAAGCUAAAUCUUUCCUCUAAUUAUUUCUUUCACCUUUAGUUAUGUUUCUGACCUUUUUUUGGUGGCGGAGGGGGCGGGAGGGGAUUUUAUUUUGGCCACAAACUGGUAAGUUUGAGAAAAGUUCCCUUAACCAGACUUAUGGGGAUCCUUGCUCUGAUUGACUUUUCAAAACAAUUUCCAUUUGACUUUCACAACGGCUACAACAUAAAAGUGAUUUGUUGAGUGUCACUAAUGACCUUUCUCUGGAAAGCUUGAUUCAGAUUCCUGGCGACAGUAAACAACAUCUAUCAAAAUCUUCCUGUGGCACCUUGGAACCAACAACCAUCUCAACACGUUGCCUCUGAGUCCUUCUAAAUUAACCACAUCCUGUGCACCGCAUACGUGUGCGCACACACAAGGCUGAUUGAUUUACACGUGUAUUUUUGGCAUUUAUAGCUGAUGAAGAUGAAAAUGGGGAGCAUUCUCCAGGCAGGGGAAACUCAUCUAAAGUUUUGGAAGAACAUCGAUCCUCAUUUGUAACAUUGGUACUCACUUUUGCAGUGUGAGAUUUUAGAGAUAAUUAGCAACUCCUAUCAUUGGGAAGAACGGGUCAUCUUGUAUUGUCUUUUCCUUAAAAGUAGAGGAGGCAACCAAGGCCGCAGAUCAGAGAGCAUUGCAAAAGAAUCUUUCUGCCCCUCACAAGAACAAGACACUUUGACAGCAUUAUUUGGAGCCCUAGUUGGUCCUAAAAAGACAUCUGUGGGGAGGGCUAUUCUUCAGAAGCGGUUUUCUUUUUUAUUUCAAUGAGGAAAUGUUGCACCCAAAUUGGCAAGCAUUUAUGUAAAAAUAUCAAACCCAGGGGCUGAGUCUUGGCAAGCAUGAAGACCUGAGUUCAAAUCCCCAACACACCGGGAAAAAGCAAGGUAGUACUUAUGUGUGCCUGUGCUUAUUAACCUCAUAACUGGCGGGCAGAGUUCUAAGAGCUCACAGACCAGCCAACUUGGCUGAACCAGGAAGCCUCCGUUUCAGUGAGAAACCCUGCAUCAAAGCAAUAAGGCACAUAAAGAAUGGUAAAGGAAGACCCCUGAAGUCCUGCUAGAGCCUACAUAUGCAUGUAUGGGCAUAGACACCACAAGCUUGUGUGCAUGUUGUACCAGCAUACAUCAUACAAAUGCAUACAAUUUUUUAAAUUAAGAACAAAAGAUCAAAUCCCAUUAAAAUCAUCUCACGUACCUCAGUAGUUAACUUUCAGCAUCAUGACAGGACCUCAAAAGAUAGGUCCCUUCAUUAAUCACUAUACAGAACAAUUUGCUCUAUUUUUAAGGUCUUUUUCAGAACUCUUUCCUGUUUUAGAAUAAGCCAGCAAGGCAACGGUCACAAGAAGAUAAACCAAUGAUACUUAGUUAUGCAAUUUUACCUCUAAUGCUUAAAGGAUAAACACUACAGUAAUAACAAAAUAAAUAGUACAAUCAAUGCAGGUAAUUUUACACUAAGCGAGAGAGAAGUACCAGAAAGACCCAGACAAAGGCAUCACCAGCACUGUCAGGAGACCUUUGUUCAACCUCACAACUGUGAAGAUGACCGUUGUGAUCUCUCGCAACAUGCUAAGGGACUUAAAAUGUAGAAAACUCAAAUGGGUUGCUGGAAGCAUGGGCAGAAAUGCCUCCAAAGGCAAAGCUCUAGGGAAGAAACACAGUAGAAAGUCAGGUUUCCAGAUGCCAAGGAGGCCAUUGAUGAUGCCAAAAUAGAGAGGGAAGGCGAGGGGAAAGUUUGGGAGUGUGGGUAUCAAAUUGGCUUCGCCCCAGAUGUGUUAGAUAGAUAAGGCUGAGAUCUCAUUGAGGGGGAUCAUGUAAUUUCUUGUAUAAACAGCAAUUCCUGGGCGUCUCUGUUAAAAGGAUGUUUCCAUUUAUGGGUCCCCUACCCACAAGCUCACACACAUACACAAAGUAUGUAUGUAAGUUUGUGUAUGCUUAUAGUUCCCAGUGUUUGGGAAUUCCCUAAAACUCAGCUUUUAUCAAAGAAACUCAUUGAUGAACCCAUGCUCUUGAAAUGGAGAUGAUCUGAGCCCCAAGGCUUCUUCUGUCUGCUGGGUCACUAUUAUCUCUGCCAUCACAACUGUUGAACAGAACCCAAAUUCCCCCACUGAGGGCAAAGGAACUACCUACAGGGGGUUGGUUGGCUCCAGAACAAGCUCCCUUAAUGCCUUCUGCCCCAACUUUAACUUCCACUCCAGCUGCUUCUGGGAGUGAAUUAAGCUUAUUGGGAAAUCUCAGUAAGUCCCUCCUCUUCCGGCUAUCCCUUCAAGUCCACACAGAUUUGCCUCGAUUUCUAUGAAAACAAAACAAAACAAGGUUUAGAAAUCGGAUCUAUUUUAAAUAUAUUUAUCAUAAUUUGUAUUCCUUAAAAAAAAUCUUAUGAUAUAUUUUUUUGCUAUUGCUCUGCAAGUCUUGCAGAAGGUGGGAGCCUCCUGAGCUGAUUUAUACCCAGUAACAUAAAUAGGUUGGUAAACUCAGAAUUCUGUUCUGCGGAUGAAAAGAUUUGGUCCAUUCUAGGUCUGUGCUCAUUUGAGAUUAUUACUGCUCAUGCAACAUCUAUGCCUUCUGUAUAUUUGUGUGACAGUUAUGAUUUUCUUCAGAUUUUUGUUAUUGUGCCAUAGUGUACCUGGAGAUGUCACAGAACACCUUUGUGGCAUUUCUUCUCUCCUCCAGUCUUUAAGUGGGUUCUGGGGAGCUUGCAUCCCCAGGCUUGUAUGGUAGCACAAGCUUACCCACUGUGCCCAGCAGGUACUGCCUUUUUUUCCAGAAUGCAACAGUACUGAGGAGUGUUCUCUGUUGGGUGUUGGAUUUUGUUUCCUUGGUCAGUUUUUCAAUGUUAAGAUGCUUCACUUUGGCUUCACUUUUUUGGUUCAUGGAGCUUUUUUUAAAGGAGUACUAUGACUUUACAAAGGAAGAGUAAGAAUGGAAAGGGUUUAGAUGAAAGGACAAGAAAGAAAAAGUCAAACCAGAAAAGAGAAAUGCCAGAAAUGGAGACUCGGGGGCAAGAGUACAAAUCCAGAGCCAGGAAAGAACUCUGACAAUAGAGAUAGAAGAACCAAGAAAGAGGAGGUAGAGGGAAGGGCAUCGGGAAGCCAAAGACGGUGUCUAGUGUGUAGAAAUAGCUUAGUAAAUAGUCGUUGCUGUAGCUACUGUUCAAGAUACUUCUUAAAAAAUGUAGUUUGUUAAUACUUUAAUUAGUCUCUGUGUAUUUGUGUGUAUAUGCAUGUAUGUGGUGUGUGUGUGUGUGUGUGUGUGUGUGAUGUGGUGUGUGUGUGGUGUUGUGUAUGUGUGUGAUGUGGUGUGUGUGUGUGUGUGUGAUGU